UUAAGCGACUAAGCGUACACGGUGGAUGCCCUGGCAGUCAGAGGCGAUGAAGGACGUGCUAAUCUGCGAUAAGCGUCGGUAAGGUGAUAUGAACCGUUAUAACCGGCGAUUUCCGAAUGGGGAAACCCAGUGUGUUUCGUCACACUAUCAUUAACUGAAUCCAUAGGUUAAUGAGGCGAACCGGGGGAACUGAAACAUCUAAGUACCCCGAGGAAAAGAAAUCAACCGAGAUUCCCCCAGUAGCGGCGAGCGAACGGGGAGGCAGCCCAGAGCCUGAAUCAGUGUGUGUGUUAGUGGAAGCGUCUGGAAAGGCGCGCGAUACAGGGUGACAGCCCCGUACACAAAAAUAGCACAUAUUGUGAGCUCGAUGAGUAGGGCGGGACACGUGGUAUCCUGUCUGAAUAUGGGGGGACCAUCCUCCAAGGCUAAAUACUCCUGACUGACCGAUAGUGAACCAGUACCGUGAGGGAAAGGCGAAAAGAACCCGGCGAGGGAGUGAAAAAGAACCUGAAACCGUGUUCGUACAAGCAGUGGGAGCACGCUUAGGCGUGUGACUGCGUACCUUUUGUAUAAUGGGUCAGCGACUUAUAUUCUGUAGCAAGGUUAACCGAAUAGGGGAGCCGAAGGGAAACCGAGUCUUAACUGGGCGUUAAGUUGCAGGGUAUAGACCCGAAACCCGGUGAUCUAGCCAUGGGCAGGUUGAAGGUUGGGUAACACUAACUGGAGGACCGAACCGACUAAUGUUGAAAAAUUAGCGGAUGACUUGUGGCUGGGGGUGAAAGGCCAAUCAAACCGGGAGAUAGCUGGUUCUCCCCGAAAGCUAUUUAGGUAGCGCCUCGUGAAUUCAUCUCCGGGGGUAGAGCACUGUUUCGGCAAGGGGGUCAUCCCGACUUACCAACCCGAUGCAAACUGCGAAUACCGGAGAAUGUUAUCACGGGAGACACACGGCGGGUGCUAACGUCCGUCGUGAAGAGGGAAACAACCCAGACCGCCAGCUAAGGUCCCAAAGUCAUGGUUAAGUGGGAAACGAUGUGGGAAGGCCCAGACAGCCAGGAUGUUGGCUUAGAAGCAGCCAUCAUUUAAAGAAAGCGUAAUAGCUCACUGGUCGAGUCGGCCUGCGCGGAAGAUGUAACGGGGCUAAACCAUGCACCGAAGCUGCGGCAGCGACGCUUAUGCGUUGUUGGGUAGGGGAGCGUUCUGUAAGCCUGCGAAGGUGUGCUGUGAGGCAUGCUGGAGGUAUCAGAAGUGCGAAUGCUGACAUAAGUAACGAUAAAGCGGGUGAAAAGCCCGCUCGCCGGAAGACCAAGGGUUCCUGUCCAACGUUAAUCGGGGCAGGGUGAGUCGACCCCUAAGGCGAGGCCGAAAGGCGUAGUCGAUGGGAAACAGGUUAAUAUUCCUGUACUUGGUGUUACUGCGAAGGGGGGACGGAGAAGGCUAUGUUGGCCGGGCGACGGUUGUCCCGGUUUAAGCGUGUAGGCUGGUUUUCCAGGCAAAUCCGGAAAAUCAAGGCUGAGGCGUGAUGACGAGGCACUACGGUGCUGAAGCAACAAAUGCCCUGCUUCCAGGAAAAGCCUCUAAGCAUCAGGUAACAUCAAAUCGUACCCCAAACCGACACAGGUGGUCAGGUAGAGAAUACCAAGGCGCUUGAGAGAACUCGGGUGAAGGAACUAGGCAAAAUGGUGCCGUAACUUCGGGAGAAGGCACGCUGAUAUGUAGGUGAAGUCCCUCGCGGAUGGAGCUGAAAUCAGUCGAAGAUACCAGCUGGCUGCAACUGUUUAUUAAAAACACAGCACUGUGCAAACACGAAAGUGGACGUAUACGGUGUGACGCCUGCCCGGUGCCGGAAGGUUAAUUGAUGGGGUCAGCGCAAGCGAAGCUCUUGAUCGAAGCCCCGGUAAACGGCGGCCGUAACUAUAACGGUCCUAAGGUAGCGAAAUUCCUUGUCGGGUAAGUUCCGACCUGCACGAAUGGCGUAAUGAUGGCCAGGCUGUCUCCACCCGAGACUCAGUGAAAUUGAACUCGCUGUGAAGAUGCAGUGUACCCGCGGCAAGACGGAAAGACCCCGUGAACCUUUACUAUAGCUUGACACUGAACAUUGAGCCUUGAUGUGUAGGAUAGGUGGGAGGCUUUGAAGUGUGGACGCCAGUCUGCAUGGAGCCGACCUUGAAAUACCACCCUUUAAUGUUUGAUGUUCUAACGUUGACCCGUGAUCCGGGUUGCGGACAGUGUCUGGUGGGUAGUUUGACUGGGGCGGUCUCCUCCUAAAGAGUAACGGAGGAGCACGAAGGUUGGCUAAUCCUGGUCGGACAUCAGGAGGUUAGUGCAAUGGCAUAAGCCAGCUUGACUGCGAGCGUGACGGCGCGAGCAGGUGCGAAAGCAGGUCAUAGUGAUCCGGUGGUUCUGAAUGGAAGGGCCAUCGCUCAACGGAUAAAAGGUACUCCGGGGAUAACAGGCUGAUACCGCCCAAGAGUUCAUAUCGACGGCGGUGUUUGGCACCUCGAUGUCGGCUCAUCACAUCCUGGGGCUGAAGUAGGUCCCAAGGGUAUGGCUGUUCGCCAUUUAAAGUGGUACGCGAGCUGGGUUUAGAACGUCGUGAGACAGUUCGGUCCCUAUCUGCCGUGGGCGCUGGAGAACUGAGGGGGGCUGCUCCUAGUACGAGAGGACCGGAGUGGACGCAUCACUGGUGUUCGGGUUGUCAUGCCAAUGGCACUGCCCGGUAGCUAAAUGCGGAAGAGAUAAGUGCUGAAAGCAUCUAAGCACGAAACUUGCCCCGAGAUGAGUUCUCCCUGACUCCUUGAGAGUCCUGAAGGAACGUUGAAGACGACGACGUUGAUAGGCCGGGUGUGUAAGCGCAGCGAUGCGUUGAGCUAACCGGUACUAAUGAACCGUGAGGCUUAACCUU
rnacentral:rRNA from 1 species